rnacentral:rRNA from 5 species
UGCUGGAGGUAUCAGAAGUGCGAAUGCUGACAUAAGUAACGAUAAAGCGGGUGAAAAGCCCGCUCGCCGGAAGACCAAGGGUUCCUGUCCAACGUUAAUCGGGGCAGGGUGAGUCGACCCCUAAGGCGAGGCCGAAAGGCGUAGUCGAUGGGAAACGGGUUAAUAUUCCCGUACUUGGUGUUACUGCGAAGGGGGGACGGAGAAGGCUAUGUUGGCCGGGCGACGGUUGUCCCGGUUUAAGCGUGUAGGUGUGUGUUCCAGGUAAAUCCGGUUCACUUUAACACUGAGGCGUGAUGACGAGGCACUACGGUGCUGAAGCAACAAAUGCCCUGCUUCCAGGAAAAGCCUCUAAGCAUCAGGUAACAUCAAAUCGUACCCCAAACCGACACAGGUGGUCAGGUAGAGAAUACCAAGGCGCUUGAGAGAACUCGGGUGAAGGAACUAGGCAAAAUGGUGCCGUAACUUCGGGAGAAGGCACGCUGACACGUAGGUGAAGUGAUUUACUCA